AAUAGGCUACGUGUACUUUUUGGGACCAUAAUGUAAAGGGAUAUCGUAGUGUUUCAGAUAUUCUGGUAAGGAAAUGUACGAAAAUUGAUGGUGCAACAUGUUUAGUUUGUUAAAACGAAGUGCUUUUGUUUAUCGUGAAUGUUUGCUAGAUUAUUCUCAUGUAGUGAACAUAAGAUAUCUUCCAUUCUCUUUGUCAGUUCAAACUACACCUUGAGAGUUUAAGUCAACUAUCAAGAGCUGUGGGCUGCUAGGAUAUAUCUUAAAUAACCUUGUUAAGUUUCUUCUGUUGUUUCAUGGAUUUCUUGAUACUAUAGGGAGAGUUGAUUAUCAACUUUCUCAUUGAAUUCAACUCUAAGUUGGUUGCAGACAUAAAUCCUGGUGUGAAAGCUUUAAUGUUGUAAGUUGCUGAAAAAGUUAGAAAGUCAUUAUGCUACAAUUUUACAGCACAUUUACGGAAUAUCAGAUGGGAAAGAGCUGGGUCCAAGCUUUGCUAAGCUGAGUUUGGUUUUGGAAGCCCAAUCAGCUGUCCUAUUGGACAUGACGGCAGGUAUGGCGGAGUGUCAUCCAACAUAUAGACUCAGUUUCGAAAGUUCAAAUUAGCUUGGAUCAUCUCUGCAACCCGAAGCUUGAUAUUGAAACUUGAAAGUUGAGACCUAUCUAUUUCUCCAGAUCUGUUUGAUGAUUUAGAAGGUCAUAGCUUAUACCGACUUGGAAAUCCUGUUGACCUGACUUGUUACUGCUGAGGAUUGAUGUGAAGGGUUGUAAAUGGAGAUCAUCUCAAUCAACAGAGUUAUCUUCCACUGGUGAGUAUAUAUGGUUGAGCUACUGUAAUGUAUUUGUUAAGCUGGACUGAAAAUGCUGUAAUGGAACUUUGAUUUAAAGAAUUGUUUCUGGACUUGGUGCUGACAUUAUACUCAAUAUUAGCGACAUUUCUAGUGCAGAACUCCAAGAUGAAUUCUUCGGACUCAUACUACAGGGGAAGAAAAACUUUGGUUUUGUUAUGUUUGUGGCAUUACACAACUAAUGUCAUCCGUUCGGUCUCAAUCAGUUGACACCCUAAAGCAAAGAGGGAAAUACUUGGAUUAGCAGUUUUUCAGUUCAGCUGCAUCUAGAUGGGGGAAAACAAUCAAGAAACCUUUCAGGUUAACGGAGAUACUCGAAAUCUGGAACUUGGAAACAUGUGGUUAGAUCUGUUUUUGUUCGAAUGAGUAUAUCAACAAGUGAGGCUGUCAUGCAGAUUGCAGUAGUGAAGCAAAUGGGGGCAUCAAGAUUUGGGAUUUGAGAAACACCUGAAGUUCCCUUUAGUGAUGGAAGUUACUUUGGUUCAUCACUAUUUUCUUGAAGAAAUUUAAGAGGGUGAGAGAGAACCGAGUUGAAGUUUCAUAGUAACAUUAUUUGAGUACAAAAAUGUUUACCUGACUAUUAUACCAACACUUCAAGUUUAUGGGCUCUCUUUCUUGGUUAUGGGAUUAUUGUUGUUGGUGACACUCUGGUUAUUACAAGAAAAUUUAGAGUUGACAAGAUAGUAAUAUAUCGGGAAUAUAUUGUUCCUGCCACUUCUCAGCAGUCCAAUAAAUGGCCUGAAACUGGUUUCAUGUCACAAAAUGCAUUGAUGAGUUCUCUAGGACUCUCGCCAUGUAGGUUUUGCGCAGGUACUGACCCUGAAACAUCAACUGUAAAUUAAAUGUCCUCUAAACAAUGUACAAUAGAGAAACUCCUGUUUUGAAUAGCACAGUCUUGUAGAUAGCUCAUUCCUUAUGCCCUUGAUCUGCUAACUUGUUUUUCAAUUUUCCCCUAAAUGGAUGAAAUUACAAUGUGUUAAAUGCCACACAGGGUAGCAGAGAAUUCAUAUCUUUAUUGUGAUAAGUCAGAUGAUUUAUCAUCAAUAUAAUUAAGUGUUCCCCGAGGUUAUAUUUGUAUAUUUUGCCUUUACAUUCCAGAACUGUCCGUCAUUAUUGUUCAAUCCAGGGUUAUGGCACGACUUGAGAUCACUACUGCAGGAACAGUAAAGCAUGGUUGCAAUACGGAGAAAGUUCAGUAGCCUUCCGGACUAGUGAAUGAGUGAGCUUUGGAAUGCCAUUUUACGCAGCUAAUUCAUCUCAGAAGUUUCUUGGCGUGUAACGUGUUCAAUAGAUUGUUCCUUGGACCGGUACUUCCAAUUGCUGCUUAGCUUUUAGUUUCAACUUCAGUUUUGCCUUGCUUAUUGUUGCUGCUAUCCUGCAGUGAAUAGUGAUGCUUAUCUCCAAAGUAUUAAUACGGCCUUAAGAUUUCCAAAUAUGCAGUAUUGUUUAACUGAUAAUAACCAUUACGUAUUGCUGGCCAUAUCUGAUCUGUUUCUUGGAUGUAUAAUGAAAUAGAACACGGCAAGACAUCUGCUAGGACAUGUAAAGAUGAAAUACCUUCAUAUAUCCCAUAAGUUUUAUGAGUAAUAACAAGUUUGCUAUUGAAGUUCUUCCAAAGUACUUCAAACAUAGCAAUUUAUCCAGUUUCAUUUACCAGCUCAACAACUAUGUGAGUAUUCUGCAAAUUUAACUUCUUUAUUAGUAUGUUUUCUGUGUUGUGUUCCUAUUUUUUGUUACUAGCUCAACAACUAUGACUUUUUACUGCAUUUUCCACUUCUGAUAUGUUUGCUAUGUUAUUUUUCUCAUUUUUAUUGUUUCUUGAAAUUUUGGCUUCUCUUCCAUACCCUCCCCAUUUUUUUUUGUUAGCUCAAAAUCUAUGUGGCCUCAAUGUCAUCGUCUUAAUUUAACCUUGUAAUUACAAGGUAGGGGUAAGGCUGAGUACAUAUUACCUUCCCAGACCCCACUUGUGGGAACUCAAUGGUUUUUUUUUUUUCUUUUCUUGUUGUUGUUGUAAUUAGUGUGCAUGUGGUGCUUUUAUGAAUCCGGAUUCGGUUUCUUGAAAGCUGUUGCUUUGUUUCCUUUUUCUAUUUGAAGUGAAAAUUUGGAUUGAUUUGACAAGAAAGAAUGAAUCUCAGGGUUUUAAGAAGGUUUGUUCUUACAAAAGUGAGUAUGCAAAUCCAUGGUUUCGAGCUGGGAAAAAGCACUGGCUGAAGAAUAUCAAAAGCAGGAUUCAACUAUCCAAAACCAAUAAGCCACAACAAGGUUCGCAUAGUUCUUGUGUUGAUCCAAUGAAGGAUAAUUUGGAAGAGGAGGUGGAGAAGUUGGGGAAUGAUAACAUUAGUCUGAAAAUAGAACUUCAGAAGUUGAAAGAUAGACAAGAAAACAUGAGAGUUUUGUUUCCUACUAUGAAAGGAUGCAGAAAGGAUACAGAAAUUAGCAAUAUUUUGGUAGAGUCGGAGAAGAUUCUAGCAGCAAUGACACAAGAAAGAGGCCACAAAUGGUAGAGUUGCCAGAUCGUGUGGCUAACUCUGUCCAGGAUGGGAUCGGACAGACAUCAAGCUCUGUUGGUGGCUCAGUAAGUUCUAAUGAACAACAGAAACAAGAAGCAACUGCUAAAAAUGAUAAGAAUCGCGAGUUCUGGGAAAAGCUGUUUGAAGAUGAUUCAGAGUCUCAAAAUGAAGGAGCAGAGGGUGAGCAGGCACUGAAUCGAUCGAAGGCUAUGGUGGAGGGUGCCUACGAUUUUUGGAACGGAGAAAUUAGUUUGGAAAGACUUCAAUAUUGUGAAUGAGGCUGAUGGAGUUCAAAAGCCCGUACUUAGGCAUUUUAACACCAGUGUUACAGAUAAUACCUUGGAGAUUCGAUUUUACUGGGCUGGCAAAGGCACUACCAGAAUCCCAGUUAGAGGGAAUUACGGCCCCCUCAUAUCUGCUAUUUCACUCAAACCAAGAUUGGUUACUUGCGUCUAGAAAAACACUGCAACGGAAUGAAUGAUUACAUGCUCUGCUAGACUACUUGUGGGGUUGACAAUGCUUAUCAACUCCCAUGUAAAAGAUGUUGGUUUUCUAGCUUCCAGGAUCCAAGUCAAUAUGUGGAAAAUCUGAUCCUAGCCCAUUCUUCUCCCUGCUGUUUGAACAACUGUUGGUUUCGGAAAUUGCAAAAGAUAAUUGGUUGAGUAUCUAUCUCAACAAUUGAUUUGCUUUGGUCUCUUCAGAGUUUCUUCAUUUUUCUAGAGACCACAAGUAAAAUAUUAUCAGCAAUCAGCAUCAAAGCCAAUUUGUGAACCUUUACUUGGCCUGCUACAAGUGAUUGAAAGAGUAAUUUUUCAUUAGCAUUCCUAAUUUAUUGUUGGGCAAACUAGUUUCUUUUAACCAAGCUCUUAAAUUUUAUUUCUGGCUUGAUCUGCUUGUGGUUCCGUACCAUCUAUUAGUAUUAGUAUGUUCCCUGAUUUGUGUUUCUACAAGCUCUCCUAAUUCUUAAUGAAAGAUAGCUUUUAAUUCGCUGGAAUUCCUAAAGUAUUUGCCUUUCUUUUAUAUACAUAUUAUAUCUAUUUAAUCAGCUCUUCGUUUGUAUGAACAUCAAAAGCCAAGUGUAAUUAGUCCUUGUAAGUUCCGGGCUUGCAGCAGACAAGUUUUUUUCCCAUUAAUUUCCCAGCAUUACCGGGGGUGUUGUAUUAUCUUGAAAAGAUGGAGGAGGGGAUGGCCAUGCCUCCAAAGAUUACAACACAAGGACACAGAAGGCAUUUGCAAUCUGUCCAAGAUGAACGGACCUUUGGCACCACUAGGAAGCUGUUGAAAAUCGAGGAAAAUCCUGUUGACAUGGUUUGACAAGGCAAACUUAGCAAGAUGGUCAGCCACUUGGUUGGCCUCCCUAAAGCAAUCUUGGUUCAUGAUGUGUGAGGUAUCCUCAAUAACUCUCUUCAAUUUGAAGUUAUUGGUUUUCCCCUCCUUGAGCAUAUUCAAUACCAGCAUAGAAUCAAGUUCAAUGGUGAAGUUGGAGUAUCCAUUAGUUUCACACCAGUUGAUCCCAAAGAAGGCAGCUUGUGCUUCAGCACAGUUGUGACUAUUGCACUUUGCACUGGCAGAGAAGGCCAUAAUGAAGUCGCCUUUAUCAUUUUUCAGGACUCCACUGAGGCCAGCAUUGUCAUUUCCUUUUACAAAACUUCCAUCUGUAUUGAGUUUAAGGGAGUUGCAACUAGGCUUCUCCCAUCAUACAAUGAUGGCCUCCAGAAUGGGUUGUAAUUUCAUCAUCUUCUCACAUAAAUUGACCCAAGGCAAUGUUAAGUUGCAAUUAGGAAAGACUCUGUGAAUAGCAGCUUGAAUGUUCCAGCACACUUGAUGUUUCAUUUUGAAAAAAUUGAAUCUUUUUUGAUCGCCAUAUUUACAAGA